rnacentral:rRNA from 1 species
AUUGAACGCUGGCGGCAGGCCUAACACAUGCAAGUCGAACGAGUGGCGGACGGGCGAGUAAUGUCUGGGAACCUGCCUGAUCGAGGGGGCUAACUACUGGAAACGGUAGCUAAUACCGCAUACCAUCGGAUGUGCCCAGAUGGGAUUAGCUAGUAGGUGGGGUAAAGGCGCACAUAGGCGACGCUCCCUAGCUGGGCUGAGAGGCUGAUCAGCCACACUGGGACUGAGACACGGUCCAGACUCCGACGGGAGGCAGCAGUGGGGAAUAUUGCACAAUGGGCGCAAGCCUGAUGCAGCCAUGCCGCGUGUAUGAAGAAGGCCUUAGGGUUGUAAAGUACUUUCAGCGGGGAGGCGUUACCCGCAGAAGAAGCACCGGCUAACUCCGUGCCAGCAGCCGCGGUAAUUC